AUCGACAAGUCACGUGAGACAUUUAUGGAAAUGUGGCCAACCUACUAAAUAAACAUGCAAUAAUAAUAAUAAAUAAAGUUUUUAGUAGAAUGAUAAAUAGAAAACAAUCAAUCAAUUAUCAACAACUUUUAAAAUGAAAUUUUCCAUAUUUGUUAUUUAAUAAUACUUUUCACUUGUCACGUAUCUGACGUCCGAAUAAUUCUGAUUUUUUUGUGUUGUAGGGCUUGUGUCUUGACUUGACCGUUGAAAAACUCCAAAUCCAAAUCCAAAACUGUUCAAUUUUAUAGGUUACAUGUUGAUUGACGAUAUAUUAUCACAAUUUUGAAAGUUUUAAAAUUUCAAAAUAAAUUGACUUGAAGUUUUAUUCUUCUACAAAGUUUAUAUGUUUAUGUAAAUUGAAUAAGAUUUCUAUUUAUACUGCAGCAAACAUGGAGCAAGGGAUCAAAUACAACUAUCCAAUCAAGGAGAAAUUUGACAGAACCAGAGUUUCAGCCGAGCGAUUUAUACAAGUGGAUUACUUCUAAUAACAAAGAGGCUAACCAUUCUGUAAGUUGAACCUACUUUAAAUAGUUUUUCAACAAACGUGGGUUUUUUAUUCAUCGACGUUUCAACAGCUCUCCAAUACUACAGUGAAUUUCUUAAAAAUACGUAUUGCAAUCAAUUUAUACGAGGGUGAAUCAAAUGAAAACCUUAAAACGGUUAUAUAUCAUUUAUUUUGAUAACUAAGUGAACCUUAUAUUUAUAAUUUUCUGAGAUAGUCUCCUUGAAGUAUUAUGUGCCUGUAGUCACUCGUGCACCGCGGUUUUCACUUCUUCAUCACUUUGGAAAUGCUUUCAAUUUCAAUUUCAAUUUAUUCAUUCUUUGCACUUUUUACAUAGUUUAAAUACACAAAAAUACAAAAUAAAUAAAGAGUACAAAAGAAUGUGUAGCUCGCAAGACUUUCGUCUGUUCGCGAGCAUGAGUAAGAGAAUAUAAAGAUUGAGAAACGUAGAAAAGAAAAAAUAUUUAUAAAAUAGAAUAUAAUAAAUGACUAAGAA